rnacentral:lncRNA from 1 species
UUGUUAUACAUGCAUACGUGAUAACUACUUUAUGAGAGAAGUAAAUUGUUGCUUACAGAAGAAAAAAAUUGCUAGGAAAUUUAAUCUAAUAUAGACAACUCAUAAUGGAGCUUUAUUGUGUUAAAAGUUUUGCUAGGUUGUCGUAGAUCAAACUUUUUCUUGGUGAAGAGACAUCCUUUAUUCCAGAAGAAUUACAAAGUCAUAUUCCUUUUCUUGUUGUGUUGGCCACCUAUUGUGGGCAGUUUUAUUUUAACGAUGCGUUGUUAUUUGGAUAACUUUUCCUUUUAUGAAGUGGUUUAUGUUAGAAGUCUAACUGUAUUAGAAGUCUAGUCUAAACUGUAUUAGGAGUAGGCUAGGU